AGAUCUGGACAGCCUCUUAUCACUUUGUGUGGAAAAGAGCAGCGUGAACAUCCUGACUGACAUUUCUCUAUGGACGACAGAAAAUCUGGUUUGGAAGAAGAUGAAGACCGAUGUACCGGUGUGAUGCCGCGCUAAUGAACAUGUCUGUCUGUUCCUGCCUCUGCUCGUCCCUCUGGGUCCAGGUCACCUCAGAAACACACACACACACACACACACACACACACACACUAUAUAUAUAUAUAUAUAUAUA